rnacentral:rRNA from 1 species
GCUUAACACAUGCAAGUCGAGCGGGGAAAAGUAGCUUGCUACUUGACCUAGCGGCGGACGGGUGAGUAAUGCUUAGGAAUCUGCCUAUUAGUGGGGGACAACAUCUCGAAAGGGAUGCUAAUACCGCAUACGUCCUACGGGAGAAAGCAGGGGACCUUCGGGCCUUGCGCUAAUAGAUGAGCCUAAGUCGGAUUAGCUAGUUGGUGGGGUAAAGGCCUACCAAGGCGACGAUCUGUAGCGGGUCUGAGAGGAUGAUCCGCCACACUGGGACUGAGACACGGCCCAGACUCCUACGGGAGGCAGCAGUGGGGAAUAUUGGACAAUGGGGGGAACCCUGAUCCAGCCAUGCCGCGUGUGUGAAGAAGGCCUUUUGGUUGUAAAGCACUUUAAGCGAGGAGGAGGCUACCGAGAUUAAUACUCUUGGAUAGUGGACGUUACUCGCAGAAUAAGCACCGGCUAACUCUGUGCCAGCAGCCGCGGUAAUACAGAGGGUGCAAGCGUUAAUCGGAUUUACUGGGCGUAAAGCGCGCGUAGGUGGCCAAUUAAGUCAAAUGUGAAAUCCCCGAGCUUAACUUGGGAAUUGCAUUCGAUACUGGUUGGCUAGAGUAUGGGAGAGGAUGGUAGAAUUCCAGGUGUAGCGGUGAAAUGCGUAGAGAUCUGGAGGAAUACCGAUGGCGAAGGCAGCCAUCUGGCCUAAUACUGACACUGAGGUGCGAAAGCAUGGGGAGCAAACAGGAUUAGAUACCCUGGUAGUCCAUGCCGUAAACGAUGUCUACUAGCCGUUGGGGCCUUUGAGGCUUUAGUGGCGCAGCUAACGCGAUAAGUAGACCGCCUGGGGAGUACGG